GGGGCAUUAGCUCAGUUGGUAGAGCGCUUCAAUGGCAUUGAAGAGGUCAGCGGUUCGAACCCGCUAUGCUCCACCA
rnacentral:tRNA from 1 species